GUUGGAUUGUUCCUACCUUAUCUGUGUCCCGAAGGAAAAACUUGUGUCUUUGCGUUUUACGCACUUUGACUUAGAAGCUUCUGGAGGUUGUGACUAUGACUAUAUUGAAGUAUAUGACGGUCCAGGGACGGACUUUCCGAAGCUUGGAAAGCAUUGUGGUGAUGAUCUACCCUCCCAGAUCCGCUCCUCUACCAAUGAACUCCUUGUGAAGUUUGUCACGGAUCAAUCUGUUCAGCACUCUGGCUUUGCUGCUGCGUAUACUGCCGAAUCUAGAGCUGUCACUGGCCCUUGUCUUGUAAACAAUGGGGGAUGCACUGAUAGAUGUUCCCAGACACGCGAUGGACGGGUUUGCUCAUGCAGACCAGGUUUCUCAUUGGAUCGUGACGGGGUGACGUGUAGAGGUACAGAUGGAUAAAACUCAAGCAAAAA